rnacentral:rRNA from 1 species
UGGGGAAUAUUGCACAAUGGGCGAAAGCCUGAUGCAGCGACGCCGCGUGAGGGAUGACGGCCUUCGGGUUGUAAACCUCUUUCAGUAGGGACGAAGCGCAAGUGACGGUACCUGCAGAAGAAGCACCGGCUAACUACGUGCUAGCAGCCGCGGUAAUACGUAGGGUGCGAGCGUUGUCCGGAAUUACUGGGCGUAAAGAGCUCGUAGGCGGUUUGUCACGUCGUCUGUGAAAUCCUAGGGCUUAACCCUGGACGUGCAGGCGAUACGGGCUGACUUGAGUACUACAGGGGAGACUGGAAUUUCUGGUGUAGCGGUGGAAUGCACAGAUAUCAGGAAGAACACCGAUGGCGAAGGCAGGUCUCUGGGUAGUAACUGACGCUGAGGAGCGAAAGCAUGGGUAGCGAACAGG